ensembl:snRNA U1 U1 spliceosomal RNA
AUACUUACCUGGCAAGGGAGAUACCAAGAUCAUGAAGGUGGUUUUCCCAGGGUGAGGCUUGUCCACACUGUACUGUGGAUGUGCUGACCUCUGCGAUGUCCCCAAAUAUGGGAAACUCAACUGCAUAAUUUCUGGUAGUGGGGAAAUGAGUUAGCACUUUCCCCUU